UAGCCGUCCUCGCCCACACCAUGACGAAGAACGAGAAGUCCCUCAACCAGUGCCUGGCCGAGUGGAAGCUCUUCAUCUACAACCCGACCACGGGAGAGUUCCUGGGGCGCACCGCCAAGAGCUGGGGUUUGAUCUUGCUCUUCUACCUAGUUUUUUAUGGGUUCCUGGCCGUACUCUUCUCACUCACGAUGUGGGUUAUGCUUCAGACUCUCAACGAUGAGGUUUCAAAAUAUUGUGACCAGAUUCCUAGCCCAGGACUUACGGUUUUUCCAAAACCAGUGACUGCAUUGCAAUAUACAUUCAGUGUGUCUGACCCAACUUCCUAUGCAGGGUACAUUGCAGACCUUAAGAAGUUUCUAAAACCAUAUACUUUAGAAGAAAAGAAGAACCUCACAACCCAUCCUGACCGAGCACUUUUUAAACAGAAGGGUCCAGUUUAUGUUGCAUGUCAGUUUCCUCUUUAGUUACUUCAAGCAGGCAGUGGUAUAAGUGAUCCUGAUUUUGGCUACUCUAAAGGAAAACCUUGUAUUCUUGUGAAAAUUAACAGAAUAAUUGGAUUAAAGCCUGAAGGAGUGCCAAGGAUUGAUUGUGUUUUCAAGAACGAAGAUCAAACAAAUAUAACAACAUCCUCAUAAUGGAAUUAUAGACUUAAAAUAUUUCUCAUAUCAUGGGGAAAAACUGCAUGUGUGCUGA